CAGCACCUCAAGUGGUCAGGAUGAUUAUUGGGCCUAAAGCAUCCGUAGCCUGCUUUGUUAGUUUUCGGUUAAAUCCAUAUGCUCAACGUAUGGGCUGCCAGGAAUACUACAAAGCUAGGGAGUGGGAGAGGUAGACGGUACUCGGCAGGAAGGGGUAAAAUCCUUUGAUCUAUUGAUGACCACCUGUGGCGAAGGCGGUCUACCAGAACACGUCCGACGGUGAGGGAUGAAAGCUGGGGGAGCAAACCGGAUUAGAUACCCGAGUAGUCC
rnacentral:rRNA from 1 species